UCGUAGGGUUAUACUUGGGUGAGAGUGGUC
rnacentral:misc_RNA from 1 species